CCAGCAGCCGCGGUAAUUCCAGCUCUCAUACUGCAUUGAAUUGUUGUUGCGGUUAAAAAGCUCGUAGUUGGAUCUGUACAUGAUAGGUUAGUUCAUCCUUUGGAUUGUAACUAAUACUAAAUGUUUUUUAUUAGAUUUUUAUAUUUCUUUACGGAAAUAUAAUGUCUAAUGAGUUUACUUUGAAUAAAUCAGAGUGCUCAAAACAGGCGUAAGCUUGUAUGGUUUUGCAUGGAAUAAUAGAACAUGACUAUGGUUCAUGUUUUAUUGGUUUUACUUACCAUAGUAAUGAUUAAAAGGAACAAACGGGGGCAUCCGUAUCGCAGGGCGAGAGGUGAAAUUCGUGG
rnacentral:rRNA from 1 species